rnacentral:rRNA from 1 species
AUGAACGCUGGCGGCAUGUCUAAGGCAUGCAAGUCGAGGGGUUGUAGCAAUACAGCCCCGGCAAACGGGUGCGUAACACAUUGGUAAUCUACCUCUAUCUUGAGUAUAACCCUGCGAAAGCGGGGACAAUCCUCAAUAGUCAUGCGGGGACGCAAGUCAUUCGCAUGUAAAGCUCCGGCGGAUGGAGAGGAGCCUAUGGCCCAUCAGCUUGUUGGCAGGGUAAUGGCCUACCAAGGCGAUGACGGGUAGCGGGUGUGAGAGCACGACCCGCCUCACUGGGACUGAGACACUGCCCAGACUCCUACGGGAGGCUGCAGUCGAGAAUCUUCCCCAAUGGACGAAAGUCUGAGGGAGCAAUGCCGCGUGAUCGAAGAAGCCCUUCGGGGUGUAAAGAUCUUUUAUCAGGGACGAAUUCGUGACGGUACCUGAUGAAUAAGCCACUGCUAACUUCGU